UCACAAAUCUACAUUUGUAUCUAUCAAUCCAGGCACAGUGCUCAUUAACCAAUGUUAAUCUGUUUUAAUACUGCUCUGCUGGUCCAAGAGAAGAAUGUACACAGUAAGUGCCAAUGAGCACUGACAGGGGAAAAUGCAUGACAUAAAGUGCCUCAUCCUCUUUAAGGAGUAGGCCACUGAACUGGCAAGAGAGUAAGGGAAACAUUCUGUGCUGAAUUGAAGAUUUGAUACCUGCAGCUAUCUAGUGAGAAAGAUUCUAAACUGCUACUCCCAGCUGCUCAUCAAGAGCCAAAUACUUAGUGAAAUCUUUGAUAAUGGUCAUGACCCGUGAUUCUAACAAAUCUUUCUGUUUUUCUCUGCAGUUUCUGGACCCCACUGUCAAGGCAGGAAAAAGACAACAAGAGGAGCUGCAGCCCAGGCCCAUCUCUAACAGCUCCACAGCAUACUUCUGAGGAAGAAACAUUUGGACCUUCAGAGGAAGCACAGUUAAGAUUUUCUCCCGACUGCCCACCAGUGCAGAGACAUUCACCUCAGUGGGUAAUGGAGGUAGAGUGGACUCGGGCUUGCAUUCUUGUGAGCACAGCACUGCCACCAACCCGCAGCUAGGGGAGGAAGGGAUGCCCAGGGUCCCUGACACUGGGAGAAGUGCUGGAAAACAGGGCAGUACAAAGGCUAGCACAAAAAGAACCCUUAAACUCAACCAUUAAUGAAAUGAUGGAGCUCCAGGGACAAGAAGACCUAGCAAAAUGAAGACAACUGUGGAGUUAAGUAGAUCAAACAUGAGGCAUGGAAAUCCUGAGCUAAGAAAAAAUAGCAAAAAGGGGAUCAGAGAAUCAUAGAAUUCCUGCAGUGUGGAAACAUGC